CACGUAGGUCAUCUUCCCCUGAAUGGUGGAUAACUCUCCGAAAGGAGAGCUAAUACAGCAUAAGACCACGACCUCGCUGAGGUUGCGGCCAAAGCAGACCUCUUCAUGAAAGUUUGCGUUUAGGGAUGAGCCUGCGGCCCAUCAGCUAGUUGGUAGGGUAAUGGCCUACCAAGGCUAAGACGGGUAGCUGGUCUGAGAGGAUGAACAGCCACACUGGAACUGAGACACGGUCCAGACUCCUACGGGAGGCAGCAGUGGGGAAUCUUGCGCAAUGGGCGAAAGCCUGACGCAGCGACGCCG
rnacentral:rRNA from 1 species